rnacentral:lncRNA from 1 species
UAGACUGAAGGAGUCAUGAAGAGAAACCGAGGCUCGGCAUCAUGAAUAAAUCCUAGGACAUUGGUAAAAGCACAGCCCAGUUGCAGUCAAAGAUCCCAGCAUUGUGGAGAUGCCAGUACCUUGGCAUGAUCACCAAGAGCAGCAGUGGCCAUAGAAUGGCGCCUACCCGAGCUUAGAGGACAAGCUGUGUGUGCUACAGAGGAGCUGGAGAAGUGGCCCAAGCCCCUUGUAGGAGGCCAGAAGAUGGUUAGUGAAUCCCAGGUGGCGCCACCUCUGUUUGUAAACUCCAAUCCAGAGCUGUAGUUGUUUCUCCUUUUGGCCCUACACUGUAGAACCAAAGCCGUGCCCAACAGAAGUAGCCUCACCCUGAGUGUCUGAAGCCAGUAUACACGUGAUGAUUUGAGAUGUACUGGCAUCAUAAAAACCAACAUGCGCACAGGUUCACUUGCGAUUGAGUCCUUCAAAAGAACUUCAAUAGGAUUCCCAUCUCUGGCUCUACCUUAUGGUCUCCGUCCUAAAACGAGAGUUAAAGGAAUAUGUGACUGAUCA